ensembl:snRNA U6 U6 spliceosomal RNA
GUGCUUGCUGUGGUAGCACAUGUGCUAAAUUUAGAACAAAACAGAGAUUAGCAUGGCCCCUGCACAAGGAUGACACACACAUUCAUGAAGCAUUCCAUAUUUUA